AAAAGGUUGAUAACAGGUUAUUAACAGGUCACCUCUAUGUAUCGUUGGUUAGUGGUAGGGUUAGUAAAAGGUUGAUUAUAGGUUUAAUAACCAGGUUACCCCUAUGUAUCGUUGGUUAGUGUUAGGGUUAGUAAAAGGUUGAUAAUAGGUUAUUAACAGGUUACCUCUAUGUACAGUUGGCUAGGGUUAGGGUCAGUAAUAGGUUAUUAACAGGUUACCUCUAUGUACAGUUGGUUAGGGUUAGUAAUAGGUUAUUAACAGGUUACCUCUAUGUACAGUUGGUUAGGGUUAGGGUCAGUAAUAGGUUAUUAACAGGUUAUGUCUAUGUACCAUUGGUUAGGGUUAGGGUCAGUAAUAGGUUAUUAACAGGUUAUGUCUAUGUACCAUUGGUUAGGGUUAGGGUUAGUAAUAGGUUAUUAACAGGUUACCU